rnacentral:rRNA from 1 species
CCUACGGGAGGCUGCAGUGGGGAAUAUUGGGCAAUGGGCGCAAGCCUGACCCAGCAACGCCGCGUGAAGGAAGAAGGCCCUCGGGUUGUAAACCUCUUUUAUUAGGGACGAAGAAGUGACGGUAUCUGAUGAAUAAGCCAUGGCUAAAUACGUGCCAGCAGCUGCGGUAAUACGUAGGUGGCAAGCGUUAUCCGGAUUUACUGGGUGUAAAGGGCGUGUAGGCGGGGAAGCAAGUCAGAUGUGAAAUUCCAGGGCUCAACCCUGGAACUGCAUUUGAAACUGUUUUUCUUGAGUGAUGGAGAGGCAGGCGGAAUUCGGUGUGUAGCGGUGAAAUGCGUAGAUAUACGGAGGAACACCAGUGGCGAAGGCGGCCUGCUGGACAUUAACUGACGCUGAGGCGCGAAAGCGUGGGGAGCAAACAGGAUUAGAUACCCCUGUAGUC